AACCCAGGUCUGGAAAAUUGGAUAGUGUCGACAUCUCAACUCUUCGAUCUUCAGUAACCCUAAAACAGACAGGCCAUUAAUCUCUUUGACAUCACAUCUCUUCGCCCUUUCCCCUUCUUCAGCGGAUCGUUCAAUCAACACCAUAUUCAUGAGUGUGCAAUGAAUCAUCUGGAAAUCUCAUUAAUGGGUUCCUUUCGUCUCCCUCUCAGAUUCUUUAUAUCAUUCAUAUUUUCCCUCACAUUUGUGACACACAAAAUUCUCUCAAGCCAUGAAUUCUAACAGCAAAUCAACCGUUUCCGGCGAUUUUACCACGAAGAAACCGAACGGAAAGGAUGUUGUCUCCUCCGCGAGCCGGUCGAACGAGACGGGCAAACCCAAACCUUCAUCUCUAUUGCUAAAUAUGUUUCCGGUGAUCCUAAGAAGAGAUGACGAGAGUAGAUGAGCAGUAGGGGUUUCUUUAAUUGGUUCAAAGUAUAUGGCUGCUUCAAUCUCAGCAAGACUUAUUCGCACUGUUGGAUCCUUUGCAGCUUUAGGACGCAGCAGCACAAAUGCAUCUGGAAAUUUUUUAAGCUCUCUUCCAUGUAAUCUAAAGGUUGAUGUCUACAUCACUUCGAUUGCAUAUACAGACUCACCAAAUCGAAGUAGUCUGUUGGCUUAUACACAAAUAUCUUAUUGGCGUCAAUGUCGUUCUCGGAUAUGAGAUGGAGCAAAUGCGGUUGGGGAAGACUCUACAAGCAAUUUUUUCUUGAGCUAUCUGAAGUUUCAUCAAGGAUUGCGAGGGCCAUUUCUUGAGUCAAUGAGAUCUGCUUCUUAAAGACAAGUUCUGAUGUUGUGUUGUUUAAUGUUGUGUCUUGAUUUGGCAGUUUUGCUUUGUUCUUUUAACAUAACCGAUGGUUGGGUAAAAGGUUCACUCCAGAACUUGAAGUUUUUAGGUAUGUUGGUGAUAAGGAUUGCCGUAGGGAUUUGUAGGGAUUUGCGUAAGGUAAUGCAUGAUUAUGUCAACAAGGGCUCUAAGACGAGAGUAAAUUUUUUUGUCUUUCUCAAGAAACUUUGGGUUUAUCAGCUGUGUAUAAUUAUAUUGUUUUGUUUGUUUUGUUUCAGAAAUCUUUGUUACCGUUUGAUGUGUUGUUGACAACGUAUGAUAUAGCAUUGGUGGAUCAAGACUUCCUUUCUCAGGUUCCGUGGUAACUGAUGAAGCUCAAAUACUCAAGAAUCCCAACAGUGUAUGUUACCUACCUAGAAAAAUUCAUCGAGUUGUGAAAUGAAUGAUAGAUCAUUGGUUAGUUGAUACUGUGAAUUCAAGAUUAACUUCCAUUCAUUUCACACAUCUCUUAUGUAGCCGUUUAUAUGGAUUUAUUGUAUCGGUUUACUUUCCAGCCGAAAGCUCUCCACUUCUAUUUUGACUCCUGAUUGUACAUUCAUGA